GGGCUUGGGGGAGGCCAAAGGCGACCUCUGAGCUCUUGUCCUUACCCUGGGAGAGUAUGGAACUCAGAGAAAUCAUCUGACCCGGGUAAUGUAUGACAACAAGCAGGAAAGCUUUGCUUGAGAAAAAAAAUGUCUUGUUUUAAAUGCUGAGGCUUUGGGACCACAGUUUCAUGAUGAACAAACAUUCACUGAACCCCCUACCUUAUGCCAGAGGCUUUUCCAUAAUUAUCUCCUUUAAUUGUCACAAAAAAACUCGGCAAGUGUCAGAGUUAUUGCCAUGCUACAGAAGAAACAUCGAGACUUAGAGAGGUGGGACAGCUUUGCCGAGACCACACUGAAGAGCGUGUCUGAGCAGGGCUUGGUGGGAACAGCUCUUUUCUGCUCCACUCAACUUUGGCUGAGGAAGGUGGCUAAAAGGCUGGGGAAUGGAAUCAUCUGAAGGCUCACUCACCCACAAGCCUGACACCUGGACUGAGAAGACUCAACAUCUGGGGCUCCUCAAGCAUCUGUCUGUGUCUCUAUGUGGCAUCACGUCAGGGUCUCUUUAUCGUAGUUGCUUCAGGUUAGCCAGACUCCAGGAUCACAGGUGGAGAGGCAGAGAGGAGAGGAGAAAGAGACACAGAAAGAAAAAGAGAGACAGAGUACUAGGUGGAAGCCAAAUGGCCAUUUGUGACUCAGCUUUGGAAGUUACUCAUACAGUAUCACCUCUGCUUUCUUCUUGCCUGCCAAGUUCUAUUAGUUGGAGGCAAGUCACUAAGGAUGGCCCACAUUCAAGGAAAAAGGAAUUAAAUUCCACCUUUUGGAGGAGGAAUGCCAAAGAAUUUGAAAACAUUUUGCAAAACCCAUCACAUGGUCCAACUGUUCAACCAAGAUUCUGCCUUAUUUUUCUUCCUAGUGCUGAUCACGUGGAUCUCUUGUCUGUUCCUCCUACUGGAAAUGUUAAGUCCCAUGAGAGGAGGGACUUGGUCUUCUUUACUGCUGCUUCACCAGUGACUCAAAACUGCUGGGCAAAGAGUAGACAUUCACAAGUACUGGUUGGGUCAAUUUAUUUAUUUAAUGAACCUGUUUUCUCUGCAGAACUCAGUUCAAUUCCUGCUUAAUAAUAUUACUAAUGAAUUAAUAUAUGAAAUCUUCUUAGAAUAAUGCAGGGCCCCGUGGUCUGUGCUCAGUUAAUUCUAGGAACUGUCCCUAAUAAGAGCUAACAUAGAUAGUGUGUUUAGUAUCCACUGAGCUCCUCAUGUAGGUUACUUUUUUUUAAUCUCCCAGGAAAUCCAUGAGAUGAUACUGUGAUUACACCCUUACUUCACAUAGCUACUUAGUGACUGGAACUCAGAACUGAUCCUGCCUAAUUCCAAAGUACAAGCUCUCAUUCUUCCUCUAUGGUGCAUUUUGAUCAUUUAUAUGGGCAAGGUGGAAAGUAAGUGAUUUUGGAUUAAGACACAGAGCCUUAUCCUGGCUCUUCUAUUUCACCUCUUUUAGCCUCAGUUUUCCCAUUUGUAGAAUGGGGAUGAUAAUGAUAUCUAUCUGAGAGGGCUAGUGUACAGUUCAAAUGUGAGCUACAUCUGUGAGUGGCUUGCCAAUAAUAUAGUGCUAAAGGAAUAUGUUAAAAUAAUUGGUUGAGAGGCCAUUAGGCUGAGGCAGCUCCAGCACUCUGGGUUCUAUCUAAGCAAGUUGAAACCUGAUUCACUGGAAAUAGUAACACAAAACUUAAGCUUAACCAGUCAGAAGCUGCCAAAUAAGCUCUCAAUAGGAACUUUCCACUUGAAUGAUUCAAAUAAGGCCACUGCUCCACUUCAACCAGUGAAAUAUUUUCUUUGCCUUGUUUCCACAUUCACCCUGUAAAAGCCUGUAACUCAUACUCCUGUUGGUGGAACCCCCAACCACCUGUGGUCUGGAAUUGCCUGAUUUAUAAAUUGCUGUUAGCUCAAAGAAACUGUUUGUAUUUUAAUGUGCUUCAGUUUAUCUUUUAACAGUAAAAUAUAAUCUUUAAUAUUUUACUAUGUAUCCUAAUCAUUGCUAUAGAAAUCUGUAUGCAUAUUUUAUUCUAAUUUUAAGUUUUUGGUUCCUAGUAUAAGAUUGACUGUACUUGUCUAUUUCAGUGUCUUAGACAGAACAAGGUUUUGGUAAUCAUUUCAGGAAUUAACGGGUAAUUCCAACACUCAUGGUGUGAAGAGUGCCCCUAAAAUUAAGAAAAAAUGCAUAUUCUUUAUAUUUAUUUGAAACAAAUUAUCUCAAAUUCUUUCAGAAGUGAAUAGAUCAACUGUUAAAAAGUAGAAAAACAAUUGGCUUACUCUGCAUGGAAUCAUGAAAGUGUGAAGAUGGAAAAGAACAGAGGCAUAGUUCAAAAUCCUGAUAAAUCACUUAAUAGAAAGGACAAUUUUGUAAAUGUUUUUAUUUUAAACUUUCACUUCCUCACAUGUAAAAUGAAGUUGAUAGUACUAACCUCAUAUGUUGGAUUAAAUGGUAUAAUGUAAAUAGAUGUACUUUGCAAUAUGUAAGUUAUUGCAUAAAUAUAAGGCAUCAUCAUCUAUUUCUUAUAAGUCUAGGCUAAUUUCUACUUAUCUUAGAAAACGAAUAUUACCCUGGGGAUUCUUCGAAGAAGUAACUAAACAUCAUUUUAGAAAUUCCUGAAAACAUGUAUUUUAAAAUUAUAAAAAUGAAAUAGUGAAGCUUAUUAAUGGAAUAAAUGCUUUUGCUUUUCAUUGUAAAGAAAAUUGUUCUGAUAUGAAUAUAUUGCCCACAAGUGCUGUAAUGGAGGCCUUGCAAAUCCUUGAUAUUUUAUUCUUUCUUAAGUGUACCAGGUAAAAAUAAGGCAUGCCCUGGGAUGAAUUCUGCAAAUUUUCUCCCAAGUAUCAUCCUCCAGCUGAUUCCCACUCAAAGAUAUUUGAUUUUGUUUGGGAUAAUGUCUUAAUUUGGGCUUCUAUAACAAAUUACCAUAGACUGGGUGGCUUAAACAAUAAACAUCUAUUUCUCACAGUCGGGAGGCUGGAAAGUAUAACAUCAAGGGACUGGCAGAUCCAGCGUCUGGUGAGGGAUGCUUCCUGGUUUGCAAAUGGCCAUCUUCUCAUUGUAUCCUCACAUGGCAGAGAGUAGAGAGAGCAAGAGCAAGCUCUGGUGUCUUCUUUUAGAAGGGUUCUCUUCUCAUGGCCUAAUCACUUCUCAAAGGCCCUACCUCCUAAUACCAUCAUAUUGUGGGGUAGGAUUUCAACCUAUGAAUUUGGGGGAUGAGAAUACAAACAUUCGGUCCAUAGCAUGAUCAGCCCCAAAGGCCAGUGUGUGAUACAUUUUCGUUAAUUGUGCGUAUCCUAGUUUUUUUUUUUUUUGCAAAACACAUGUUUUCCUAGUCAUGCAUAGCUGGAAUAGACCUUGUAAUAAAAUUUUGUCAGUGAAGUGUAAGUGGAGGUUUGCCAAGGGACUUCUGAGGAGGGGACACUUUCUGAUAAGAACCACACUUAAGAAAUCUCAAUAGCUAUGCUCCUUUCCAUUCCUUCCUCGUUGAGACAUCAAUGACUCUCUAACAUUUGUAACCAUGAGGAAUGGACUAAGAAAAUAGAAAUAUCUCUUUAUGUAAUGGAAUCCUGAUGUAAUUGAGCCUCUCAAUAACCCUUGUACUAUCUAUCUACCUACUUACUAUCUUUAGUAAAUAAUAAAAAUUCUGUGAUUAA